rnacentral:rRNA from 1 species
CAGGCUUAACACAUGCAAGUCGAACGCCCCCGCAAGGAGGAGUGGCAGACGGGUGAGUAACACGUGGGAACAUACCCUUCGGUUCGGAACAACGUUUGGAAACGGACGCUAAUACCGGAUACGGCCUUUUGGGCGAAAGAUUGAUCGCCGAAGGAUUGGCCCGCGUUCGAUUAGCUGGAUGGCGGGGUAACGGCCCACCAUGGCGACGAUCGAUAGCUGGUCUGAGAGGAUGGCCAGCCACAUUGGGACUGAGACACGGCCCAAACUCCUACGGGAGGCAGCAGUGGGGAAUAUUGGACAAUGGGCGCAAGCCUGAUCCAGCCAUGCCGCGUGAGUGAUGACGGCCUUAGGGUUGUAAAGCUCUUUCGCACGCGACGAUAAUGACGGUAGCGUGAGAAGAAGCCCCGGCUAACUUCGUGCCAGCAGCCGCGGUAAUACGAAGGGGGCUAGCGUUGUUCGGAAUCACUGGGCGUAAAGGGUGCGUAGGCGGGCAUUUAAGUCAGGGGUGAAAUCCCGAGGCUCAACCUCGGAACUGCCCUUGAUACUGGGUGUCUUGAGUCCGGAAGAGGUGAGUGGAACUGC